rnacentral:lncRNA from 1 species
GUGUAGGUUAGGUUACAGUUAGUUAUACUGGGUGGGUUUAUAUUAUUAAAGGGACACUCCAGGCUCCCACACGUUAGAUGCACUGUGUAGGUCAGGUUACAGUUGGUUAUACUGGGUGGGUUUAUAUUAUUAAAGGGACACUCCAGGCUCCCACACAUUAGGUGCACUGUGUAGGUUAGGUUACAGUUAGUUAUACUGGGUGGGUUUAUAUUAUUAAAGGGACACUCCAGGCUCCCACACGUUAGAUGCACUGUGUAGGUCAGGUUACAGUUAGUUAUACUGGGUGGGUUUAUAUUAUUAAAGGGACACUCCAGGCUCCCACACAUGUAAGGCGCACUGUGUAGGUCAGGUUACAGUUAGUUAUACUGGGUGGGUUUAUAUUAUUAAAGGGACACUCCAGGCUCCCACACAUGUAAGGCGCACUGUGUAGGUCAGGUUACAGUUAGUUAUACUGGGUGGGUUUAUAUUAUUAAAGGGAUACUCCAGGCUCCCACACAUGUUAGAUGCACUGUGUAGGUCAGGUUACAG